rnacentral:rRNA from 1 species
CCUACGGGAGGCAGCAGUGGGGAAUAUUGCACAAUGGGGGAAACCCUGAUGCAGCGACGCCGCGUGAGUGAAGAAGUAUUUCGGUAUGUAAAGCUCUAUCAGCAGGGAAGAAAAUGACGGUACCUGAUUCAGAAGCCCCGGCUAACUACGUGCCAGCAGCCGCGGUAAUACGUAGGGGGCAAGCGUUAUCCGGAUUUACUGGGUGUAAAGGGAGCGUAGACGGCAGCACAAGUCUGGAGUGAAAUGCCGGGGCUUAACCCCGGAACUGCUUUGGAAACCGUGCAGCUAGAGUGCAGGAGAGGUAAGUGGAAGGCCUAGUGGAGCGGUGAAAUGCGUAGAUAUUAGGAGGAACACCAGGGGCGAAGGCGGCUUACUGGACUGUAACUGACGUUGAGGCUCGAAAGCGUGGGGAGCAAACAGGAUUAGAUACCCCAGUAGUC